GAGGAGCUUGCUCUUCUGGAUGAGUUGCGAACGGGUGAGUAACGCGUAGGUAACCUGCCUGGUGGCGGGGGAUAACUAUUGGAAACGAUAGCUAAUACCGCAUGACAACAGUUAUUGCAUGAUAACUGUUUAAAAGGGGCAAUUGCUCCACUACCAGAUGGACCUGCGUUGUAUUAGCUAGUUGGUGAGGUAACGGCUCACCAAGGCGACGAUACAUAGCCGACCUGAGAGGGUGAUCGGCCACACUGGGACUGAGACACGGCCCAGACUCCUACGGGAGGCAGCAGUAGGGAAUCUUCGGCAAUGGACGGAAGUCUGACCGAGCAACGCCGCGUGAGUGAAGAAGGUUUUCGGAUCGUAAAGCUCUGUUGUAAGAGAAGAACGAGUGUGAGAGUGGAAAGUUCACACUGUGACGGUAUCUUACCAGAAAGGGACGGCUAACUACGUGCCAGCAGCCGCGGUAAUACGUAGGUCCCGAGCGUUAUCCGGAUUUAUUGGGCGUAAAGCGAGCGCAGGCGGUUAGAUAAGUCUGAAGUUAAAGGCUGUGGCUUAACCA
rnacentral:rRNA from 1 species